AACAGUCUGGAACUCAAAAUGUGCUAUUUCAUCCUACUUUCCAGGUCAUUUGCCGAGACAACCAGCAGUGUUUAAACUUGCUCAGGCUUCCGUAUCAAUGAACAGAUGGUGUAAAUCCACCCUGAGAUGCAGAAUCUGCACCAUCCCUCUUUUUCAAACAGAUAGACCUCUGUGGACCAUACACAGCGAGUGUGGAGACUCAUGAUGUCUGAUAUGCCUUGCCCAGGAAGCAAAGACAGACAAUUCUGCAUCCAGUAUAAAUGGAGUAGAGGGAGCAGGAGUGAUCAAAUCUGAGUUUAUCUGAGACACUUUCGCCAGAUAGUGAUUUGCUACAACAACCGUCCUUACAGUGAACUCUACUGCCUUUCCCAUUGAUGCCAACACAGGUUUUCAUCCUUAUGUGCCUCUGUAAACUGAUAUUCAAGUUUCUGCACAGAGUUUUGCCAUCCAGCCCAUAAGCAGAAAUGGCUCCCAUGACUCAACACAUCCUUC
rnacentral:lncRNA from 1 species